GUCCCUAGGAGGAUCUCAAGACCUACCGAUAGGAAGUGCCGUUUGACACUGCAAACAGCAGCUGCUUCUCUCCGCUGCUGGUGUCCAUCCGUAGACCAUAACCUUUGUGGUUUGGUCUAUGAUGGAGCUCCCAUCUGCAGUAGUUUGAUUCAGCUGUGGUGUGUGAUUUAAAUUGGGUCUCUGAGGGAU
rnacentral:snoRNA from 1 species